UACGUAGGGUGCGAGCGCUGUCCGGAAUUAUUGGGCGUAAAGAGCUCGUAGGCGGUCUGUCGCGUCGGUCGUGAAAACCUGCAGCUUAACUGUGGGCGUGCGGUCGAUACGGGCAUGACUGGAGUUCGGCAGGGGAGACUGGAAUUCCUGGUGUAGCGGUGAAAUGCGCAGAUAUCAGGAGGAACACCGGUGGCGAAGGCGGGUCUCUGGGCCGAUACUGACGCUGAGGAGCGAAAGCGUGGGGAGCGAACAGG
rnacentral:rRNA from 1 species